CUUGACGACCAUAGAGCGUUGGAACCACCUGAUCCCAUCCCGAACUCAGUAGUGAAACGACGCAUCGCCGAUGGUAGUGUGGGGUCUCCCCAUGUGAGAGUAGGUCAUCGUCAAGCUU
rnacentral:rRNA from 1 species